rnacentral:rRNA from 1 species
AGCGAACGCUGGCGGCAGGCUUAACACAUGCAAGUCGAGCGGGCACUUCGGUGUCAGCGGCAGACGGGUGAGUAACACGUGGGAACGUACCCUUUGGUUCGGAAUAACGCUGGGAAACUAGCGCUAAUACCGGAUACGCCCUUUUGGGGAAAGGCUUGCUGCCGAAGGAUCGGCCCGCGUCUGAUUAGCUAGUUGGUGGGGUAAUGGCCUACCAAGGCGACGAUCAGUAGCUGGUCUGAGAGGAUGAUCAGCCACACUGGGACUGAGACACGGCCCAGACUCCUACGGGAGGCAGCAGUGGGGAAUAGUGGACAAUGGGCGCAAGCCUGAUCCAGCCAUGCCGCGUGAGUGAUGAAGGCCUUAGGGUUGUAAAGCUCUUUUGUCCGGGACGAUAAUGACGGUACCGGAAGAAUAAGCCCCGGCUAACUUCG